rnacentral:rRNA from 1 species
UACGUAGGGGGCAAGCGUUGUCCGGAUUUAUUGGGCGUAAAGAGCGUGUAGGCGGCCAUACAGGUCCGUUGUGAAAACUGGAGGCUUAACCUCCAGACGUCGAUGGAAACCGUAUGGCUAGAGUCCGGAAGAGGAGAGUGGAAUUCCUGGUGUAGCGGUGAAAUGCGCAGAUAUCAGGAAGAACACCCGUGGCGAAGGCGGCUCACUGGGACGGUACUGACGCUGAGACGCGAAAGCGUGGGGAGCGAACAGG